UGAUGCCCGUCUAUCAGGAUUCUC
rnacentral:piRNA from 1 species